AGUCUGGUGUCAGCCGCCGCGGUAAUACCAGCUCCUCGAGUGGUUGGGACGAUUAUUGGGUCUAAAGCGUCCGUAGCCGGCUGGAAAAGUUCUCCGUAAAAUCCAACGAUCCAAUCGUUGGCCCGCGGGGAAUACUUUCCGGCUUGGGGGCGGGGGAGGUCGGCGGUAGUCCCGGGGUAGGGGCGAAAAACGUCGAAAGACGAAUCGCAGUCUUAUAAUCCCGGGAGGACCACCAGUGGCGAAGGCGGCCGACUAAAACGCGCCCGACGGUGAGGGACGAAAGCUGGGGGAGCGAACGGGAUUAGAUACCCCGGUAGUCCCAGCUGUAAACGAUGCAGGCUAGGUGUUAGGACGGGUACGGCCCGUUCUAGUGCCGCAGGGAAGCCAUUAAGCCUGCCACCUGGGGAGUACGGCCGCAAGGCUGAAUUCUCGAACAGGCCAAAACCGCGCCUGGCGAGACAGCUGACUUAAAGGAAUUGGCGGGGGAGCACCACAAGGGGUGAAGCUUGCGGUUUAAUUGGAGUCAACACCGGGAACCUUACCAGGGGCGACAGCUGGAUGAAGGUCAGAUUAAAGGUCUUACCGGACUAGCUGAGAGGAGGUGCAUGGCCGUCGCCAGUUCGUGCCGUGAGGUGUUCUCUUAAGUGAGAAAACGAACGAGACCCGUGCCUUUAGUUGCCAUCGUAUUCCCUCGGGAAUGCAGGCACACUAGAGGGACUGCCUCCGCUAAGGGGGAGGAAGGAGCGGGCCACGGCAGGUCAGUAUGCCCCGGAUCCCCUGGGCCACACGCGAGCUGCAAUGGCUGGGACAAUGGGCUCCGACCCCGAAAGGGGAAGGUAAUCCCUAAACCCAGCCUCAGUUGGGAUUGAGGGCUGCAACCCGCCCUCAUGAACAUGGAAUCCCUAGUAACCGUGUGUCAUCAUCGCACGGUGAAUACGUCCCUGCUCCUUGCACACACCGCCCGUCGCUCCACCCGAAUUUGGUUUUGGCGAGAUGUAGCCUUGUUGGUUACCUCGAGCCGAAGUUAGGUAAGGGGGGAGAAGUCGUAACAAGGUGGCCGUAGGGGAACCUGCGGCCGGAUCACCUCCU
rnacentral:rRNA from 1 species